UACAGCCAUAUCAUAUUGAAACACUAGUUCUCAUACAUUCUCUGAAGUUAAGCAACAUUGAGCCUGGGCAGUAUCUAGAUGGGUGACUUCUUGGGAAUACCAGAUUCUG